UCCCACAUUUAUUAUGUGAAUAAACUCGAACAAGCUGUAACAACUCAUACAUGCAACCUAGGGUGCAAUUACAUAUAACAACACAUGACUCAAACACUUGCAGCGAUAACUUCUAAGCAUAGCAGUUGCACACAACAACCGAAUAUCGAUAGAAAACAUUUGAUCAACUAAGUUCUCAUCCUAACACUUUCAUAUAUUACAAAUGAUAAAUAAAACACAAAGUAAGCCAUAACCAUUCCUUAGAUCAACCAUUUAUGAAGCCACUUCUCCUUUGGAAAAAACCAUAGCAAAUUUUGAAUUGAACCUCGAUAUUAUCCUUCCAACAUGCUGAAAUCAAAUCUGUUUAUAUUCAUUCUAGAUCCCAUCAGUCUUAUCUAACCCAUCACAAAUACUCUAGCGACAUUGACACAUCAAUACAGUCUAGAUCCACGACUUGUGAAAUCCGUCCACCAAUAAGUUACAAUCCAAACUUACUCAAACCAUGAAAAUAGUUCAAAAGAAAGAGUUGUACCACAAACUUACUAGUACCACCACAAUACAAGGCUGAGAACCUGUCUCACAUCAUAGAAACAUAACACCUGAAUCUAACGGCAAGGUCAUACCAUCCACAUAACUUCGCUUCCAUGCGCGACCUAUCCAAGCACUAGUUCACAUGAGACACCCCAAAUCACCAUGCUCAAAACUACCAACCAGCGUAAUUUGAGGUCUAGUACCACAAGCGAUUCAUCAUACCUACGGAGAAGUACAUAAUCCAAUGCCAUACCAGUAAACCUCUCUAUUGGAAAAUCCGGCUACCCCAGAAAGGGAAAAUGCCUCAAAGAAGAGAGCCGCUUUGCAAGUUCCCCUAGUACCACCCCAACUAUAUGCUAUGAGCUCGUCAAUCACCGUGGAGCCAAGAUACAUGAAUAGAAUAAUCUUCUUAGUGUACUAGUUGUACAUUUCGGGUUGUCCCUUUUGUUUCUUCACUUUGUUUUUG
rnacentral:lncRNA from 1 species